rnacentral:rRNA from 1 species
UGGGGAAUUUUGGACAAUGGGCGAAAGCCUGAUCCAGCAAUGCCGCGUGUGUGAAGAAGGCCUUCGGGUUGUAAAGCACUUUUGUCCGGAAAGAAAUCCUUGGCUCUAAUACAGUCGGGGGAUGACGGUACCGGAAGAAUAAGCACCGGCUAACUACGUGCCAGCAGCCGCGGUAAUACGUAGGGUGCAAGCGUUAAUCGGAAUUACUGGGCGUAAAGCGUGCGCAGGCGGUUUGCUAAGACCGAUGUGAAAUCCCCGGGCUCAACCUGGGAACUGCAUUGGUGACUGGCAGGCUAGAGUAUGGCAGAGGGGGGUAGAAUUCCACGUGUAGCAGUGAAAUGCGUAGAGAUGUGGAGGAAUACCGAUGGCGAAGGCAGCCCCCUGGGCCAAUACUGACGCUCAUGCACGAAAGCGUGGGGAGCAAACAGGAUUAGAUACCCUGGUAGUCCACGCCCUAAACGAUGUCAACUAGUUGUUGGGGAUUCAUUUCCUUAGUAACGUAGCUAACGCGUGAAGUUGACCGCCUGGGGGAGCACGGUCG